rnacentral:rRNA from 1 species
GACGAACGCUGGCGGCGUGCUUAACACAUGCAAGUCGAACGGUAAGGCCCUUCGGGGUACACGAGUGGCGAACGGGUGAGUAACACGUGGGUGGUCUGCCCUGCACUUCGGGAUAAGCCUGGGAAACUGGGUCUAAUACCGGAUAGGACUCCUGGCUUCAUGGUUGGGGGUGGAAAGCUUUUGCGGUGUGGGAUGGGCCCGCGGCCUAUCAGCUUGUUGGUGGGGUAAUGGCCUACCAAGGCGACGACGGGUAGCCGGCCUGAGAGGGUGACCGGUCACACUGGGACUGAGAUACGGCCCAGACUCCUACGGGAGGCAGCAGUGGGGAAUAUUGCACAAUGGGCGCAAGCCUGAUGCAGCGACGCCGCGUGAGGGAUGACGGCCUUCGGGUUGUAAACCUCUUUCAGCUAUGACGAAGCGCAAGUGACGGUAGUAGCAGAAGAAGGACCGGCCAACUACGUGCCAGCCGCCGUAACAC